CCUACGGGUGGCAGCAGUGGGGAAUAUUGGACAAUGGGCGAAAGCCUGAUCCAGCCAUGCCGCGUGUGUGAAGAAGGCCUUCGGGUUGUAAAGCACUUUCAGUGGGGAAGAAAGCCUUGGGGCUAAUACCCUCGAGGAAGGACAUCACCCACAGAAGAAGCACCGGCUAACUCCGUGCCAGCAGCCGCGGUAAUACGGAGGGUGCGAGCGUUAAUCGGAAUUACUGGGCGUAAAGCGCGCGUAGGGGGUCUGAUAAGCCGGUUGUGAAAGCCCCGGGCUCAACCUGGGAACGGCAUCCGGAACUGUCAGGCUAGAGUGCAGGAGAGGAAGGUAGAAUUCCCGGUGUAGCGGUGAAAUGCGUAGAGAUCGGGAGGAAUACCAGUGGCGAAGGCGGCCUUCUGGACUGACACUGACGCUGAGGUGCGAAAGCGUGGGUAGCAAACAGGAUUAGAUACCCGGGUAGUC
rnacentral:rRNA from 1 species